GACGAACGCUGGCGGCGUGCUUAACACAUGCAAGUCGAACGGAAAGGCCCUGCUUUUGUGGGGUGCUCGAGUGGCGAACGGGUGAGUAACACGUGAGUAACCUGCCCUUGACUUUGGGAUAACUUCAGGAAACUGGGGCUAAUACCGGAUAGGAGCUCCUGCUGCAUGGUGGGGGUUGGAAAGUUUCGGCGGUUGGGGAUGGACUCGCGGCUUAUCAGGUUGUUGGUGGGGUAGUGGCUUACCAAGGCUUUGACGGGUAGCCGGCCUGAGAGGGUGACCGGCCACAUUGGGACUGAGAUGCGGCCCAGACUCCUACGGGAGGCAGAAGUGGGGAAUAGUGCACAAUGGGCGGAAGCCUGAUGCAGCAACGCCGCGUGCGGGAUGACGGCCUUCGGGUUGUAAACCGCUUUCGCCUGUGACGAAGCGUGAGUGACGGUAAUGGGUAAAGAAGCACCGGCUAACUACGUG
rnacentral:rRNA from 1 species